UUACGAGUUGCAUAUAGUCUUUUACUAUUACAGGAGACACCUAUGCUAAGUUUUAUUUUUACCCCUUAUUUUUAUUUUCUCAGUGUACCUCACUCUCAGUCUCUUGCAUCCUCUUUCCUCUCCCUCUCCCUCUCUCCUCAUCCUGUUUCUAUCUCUUUACUCCAAUAUCUCUGAUCUAUCUCUAUAUUGCUCAUUCUCUUUCAUUCUUAACUCUAUCACUGCCCCUUCACCACCGCUGGCCCACCCUCACCUUUCUUCUCUCUCCUUAUUCACUAGUGGUUGCCAUGGUGGCGGCGAUGGCGACAAUGGUGCUUCGAUUUUUUGGGUUUCGGUUUUUUUUGGAUUAAAAAUCUUAAGAUAUUAAUUAUAUGAGUUGUGAAGAGUGUUGAUCUGGGCUUGCACCUCCUCCAACGGUAGCGGCGACUUCUACUCCUCCAACAGUAGCAGAGGCUACCACCGCCUUCGACGACCGCGAUAGAUUUCACCUACAACCGCGGCGCUUUCACCUCCUCCAACCGCGACAUACUAUACCUUCCUCUAAUUUCAUUUGAGCAUGCUAUAGUGAAGGUUUCAGUGUUUUUUACCCAAUUUUUUUCACCUAAUUUAUUGGUUUAUAAUUUGUAGGGUGUUUAAUACAAAGCAACUGAUUUCAGUUGACUAGAGUUCUUACUUUCCCAUCGUAUUUUUUGUUCCAUGAAUUGGGUUUACAAGAUUUGUGGAAUACCCGGUUCAAAAUUUAAUCAUUUACAUUUUUUUUGAUGCUCAAUUAAUGGAUCCAAUCCCUAAAUCUUAAGUUAGGGUUCCAUAAUUCUGGGGUACAAUUAUUAAUUUUGCUUUGAUUUUCUUUGUUUCGGGUAAACCCCACUUCAUUAUUUUGGAUAAUUUUGUUGUCUAACUGAAGCUCAUUAUAUGAAUUUUGAGGUGUUUAAUUUGUUUUGUUUUUUUGGUACCUUAACAAUGAUUCAUAUUCUUUUAAGUUUGUGACUUUAAUUUUUGUUGUUACAUGAAUUAUAUAUCAUGGGUUAUAAAUCCAAAUUGAUCAGGAUUAUGUUAAUUUCUAUAGUCUCAUCUUGUAGUUGAAUAUAUAUGGAGGAAAGCCUUUCAUGCAUGCUGGUGUUAGUUCAUCUUUUUUGUUCUUUUCUGUUCUUCUGUCCCCUUUAUCAUGCUUUGGAUGAGUUGUAACUUUGCAGCAAGUAUUAUAUCAGUGUGUUCUUUUCAUUAAGUUUAUUACUACCAAACUGAAAUCAUAUAUAACACAUUUGUUGUUGCUCUGAAGAAUUUAGAGCAAUGCAUAUGGCCAAUGCUUAUCUAUGAAAGUCUGAAAGCUUUUAGUGCUCUUUGCUUACUUUCAAUUGCUAGGACUUCACUUGUUACGCAAAAGCUUGGCUUCAGUAACACGGUUCUGAUGCAUUUUUGUUUAUCGGGAAUUGUUGAAUCAUUGAUUUUUUUUUUUUACUCACAUUUAUUUAUUUUUCUUUGUUGCUUAUUAGUUGCAGUUUAUUUGAUGAAGCUAGGGUGUGAUUUGAUGUGUUUUUGUCUCUUGAUUGUGCUAUGUAGAUGGAGUUACCUUGCCAGUUUGACAUUGUCAAUACUGAACCAAAGUUCAAGAAACUCGCAUUAUAUACCCCUGAUGGAUUGUAUAAGAACUGGUCUCUAAGCCUUAGCUAUAGAGGACGAGGGAUUUUUAUUGUUUUUAUUACUUUUUUAUGGAAUUGUAUAACUAUCUUUGUUAGUAUAAUGUCAUUUAAUUUGUUUAUAGAUUGAUGAUGCUUUUUGAAAAUAUUGUAGUAUCUUCAAAUUACAAUCAAUUAAUUUGUUUAGCAGUAGUCUUAUCAUUAAAGGUAUAAGGGGUACAAUUC